AAGAUUUUAAGUUAAAAAAACUAUUAAUUUUCAAAAUUAAAUUUAAAGAUAUAAUCUCUAAGUCUUA
rnacentral:tRNA from 1 species